rnacentral:lncRNA from 1 species
GCUUGCGGUGGAACGUGCAGGCGGAGCUGGUGCACUGCCGGUGGGCGAUGCUCGGCGCGGCGGGCAUCUUCAUCCCGGAGUUCCUGACCAAGAUCGGCAUCCUCAACACGCCCUUCUGGUACACCGCCGGCGAGCAGCAGUACUUCACCGACACCACCACCCUCUUCAUCAUCGAGCUCAUCCUCAUCGGCUGGGCCGAGGGCCGCCGCUGGGCCGACAUCAUCAAGCCCGGGAGCGUCAACACUGACCCCAUCUUCCCCAGCAACAAGCUCACCGGCACCGACGUCGGGUACCACCUCUCGCUCCGGCCCCAUGCAUGAACACGCAAGAAAACAUUAUUAUAUUCCCAAAGACUCAUCUAGCUGCUAGCAGUCCUCAUAUCCAUGGCUGAUCUCUGUGUGCUGGAAAUGCAUGUAAAAAUUAAGGUACCCUGGUGGCCUGUGGUUUGACCCGCUCGGCUGGGGCAGCGGCUCGCCGGAGAAGAUCAAGGAGCUGCGCACCAAGGAGAUCAAGAACGGCCGCCUCGCCAUGCUCGCCGUCAUGGGCGCCUGGUUUCAGGCCGAGUACACCGGCACCGGCCCCAUCGACAACCUCUUCGCCCACCUCGCCGACCCCGGCCACGCCACCAUCUUCCAGGUCAGCUGAGAUCAAACUGCACAUACCUCACAGCUUCGAUCUAUACGGUUUGGUUACUGAUUAGUGAACUUUUGUUGUGUUCUUGAUCAGGCCUUCACCCCCAAAUGAGGAGUUGGAGUUAGCGAUCUGAGUGCUGCGUGCUAUACCACGCAUGCAUGAGGUGGAGAUUGUUAUAGGUUGAUGGUCGAUGCGACUUUUUCCUUUUUGUGGGACGGAAUAGACUGUGAUGAUUCAAUGGCUUGUGUGGA